rnacentral:rRNA from 1 species
UACGUAGGUGGCAAGCGGUGUCCGGAAUUAUUGGGCGUAAAGCGCGCGCAGGCGGUUAUGUAAGUCUGAUGUUAAAGCCCGGGGCUCAACCUCGGUUCGCAUUGGAAACUGCGUAACUUGAGUGCAGAAGAGGAAAGUGGUAUUCCACGUGUAGCGGUGAAAUGCGUAGAUAUGUGGAAGAACACCAGUGGCGAAGGCGACUUUCCGGUCUGUAACUGACGCUGAGGCGCGAAAGCGUGGGGAGCAAACAGG